ACAAUGGAGAGUUUGAUCUUGGCUCAGGAUGAACGCUAGCGGCAGGCCUAAUACAUGCAAGUCGAACGGUUGUAGCAAUACAAUAGUGGCGCACGGGUGCGUAACGCGUAGCCAACCUACCCGAAUCUGGGGGAUAGCCCGCCGAAAGGCGGAUUAAUACCGCAUAAAACUGCAGUCC
rnacentral:ncRNA from 1 species